rnacentral:rRNA from 1 species
AAAACAUAGCCUACUAUUUAACUUAGGUACAACCCUGCCCUCUGACUUUUAACAGCCGCGGUAUCCUAACCGUGCUAAGGUAGCAUAAUCACUUGCCUAUUAAUUAUAGGCUAGAAUGAACGGGAUCACUCACUUAAACUUAUUUUUAUUUAAAUUUAAAUUAAACUUUAAGUCAAAAUACUAAAUUUAAAAGAAAGACAAAAAGACCCUGAAAACUAUUAGAAAUAAUUAGUUGGGGCAACUAUAGACCACUCUAGCGUCUAUUUUUUUUAACUCUUAAAAUCUAAAGUAUCCAGUUACUUCAGGGAUAACAGACUAAUUUUAUUAUUUAGACCCAAUAAAUAAUAAAGAUUGGCACCUCGAUGUUGGCUUAUAUUUCCUUCAUAUAGCAACAUAUAUAGAAGGCAGCUUGUUCAUCUGUUAAAUAUUUACAUGAGCUGAG